CCCACUUCUGGCUGGUUCACUGGCCUUGAGGAGUGGAGCUGAGCUGGAUCCACCCUGUGGGCAGGCCGAGCCUACCUGAGCCUAGCCUAGAUCGGUGGAACCCAGAGAACCCGCAAUCAUAUGAUCAAGAAAUAAAUGCUUAUUGGUGCAACGCGACGAAGCUCAGGGUGGUUUGUUAUGUUAUUACGUUAUUGUGUUAUGUUAUUGUGGCAACAGCUGACUGUGACCCAUGAUGCGAGAAGGGAGGGCCAGGCCUGGUGUGGGGAAAGGACACGGUCUGAGGCUGUGAUUUUGGGAAGUAACUGAGCUCUCCUGAGGAGCUGGUCUGGCAGCACCAUAUUAAGCACGGUGAAGACAGACCAGAGACCCCUGGGCACAAAAGCACCGGCUUGUCGCUGUGUCUACUGUAGGACAGACCCACAAAGCCACACGGGAAUGGCAGCCAUGAGCUGGGACAAACGACACCACAGCCAUCCUGCAGGCUCUGUGGGAGGAAACACCGCUAAGUGGCCCCACGUGUCACUGUCCCGCGAAGGAUGAUGUUUGUCUCUCAGAGGAUCAACACGGGCAACUAGACGAAUGGCAGCAAGGUACUUGAGGGUUUGCUUAUGCUCUUUUAGAAAUGAAACAGACCCUGAAACCUCUGUAGAACUGUCUCCCACAGAAGAACGUUCCCUGAACUGUUCAUAAACAAAUUUUGCCAUAUUAAAAGCCAAACAAGCACAAAA